UUGUUAGUUAUUAGGUGUAAUUUUCCUAAAUUGAUUUGAAUUGUUACAAACAAAAAAAAAUUGAUUUGAAUUUCAGUAACAAAAAAAAAUAAUACCAAACAAAUAAUACAAUAGCUGAAAAGAUCCAAAUAUUUAAUAGAAAAGAUUUGAACUAUAAUGAUGUAAGAAAUACUUUCCUAAUUUUAUAAUCUGGCACAUUCCAGAAAACAAAUAAUACAAUAGCGGAAAAUCUUGCGUGAAGUGUUCAAAAUUUUAUUUCUACUAUAAUUUAUUAAUUUAUGUUGAUUCAGCACUACUGAUUUGAUUUGAUCAGUGACUAGUUAAAAAUAGCAGAGCUUUUUUUUGUUGAAAAAGAUAUGUGGCUAGAGACAAAUGAAUAAAUGACAUGAAACGUACCAUAAAUUUAUAAAAGGUUACUGACAAAGAAACUUAUGCACAAACCUCAUGUAUUCAUUUGAGAAGGUUGUUAACCACAUUUCUUUCCGAUAAAAAAGAAAUGUUUUCACCGCUUUACCAACAACCUAAUCAUUGUAAAUAUGCAUGUUUUAACCGGUAAAGAGCGGAAUGAUACAUCAUGCAUAUUGUUUUGAGCAUAACAAAUGCUUGUGGAACCAAUUAAUCAAAAUAUUUAACAACAAAAUAUAUUAAUCAAUUAUUUUAUGAUAUAAGUGAAAAUCGUCAAACAACUAUUUUUAUGAGACCCAAAAUUCUAGCAAAAAAAAAAACCUAUCUGCAUGAGAAAUGCUCGUGGAAACCGAACCGGUCCUAUGACAAUAUAGUACAUUUUAUCUUAAAACCUUUUAACAGUUUUGUUUCAUGGAAAACUUCAGCUAGACUUUUGUUUAGAUAUUUUGCUAGAAUUAGGUGAACCUUGUAGCGUAUUUGUAAAGGAACAUGACUUCUAUAACGUGAGGGGUAUCAAGACAAACUUUUUACCAAUAGUAACUUACUAGCUAUGGUUUUUUAUUUUUUCUUAUUAAAUCUAAAAGAGCGUAUGUAAUGAUUUAGCUUUCUCUUAACGACUUAUAUAAAUCAGAACAACUAAUAAUCAUAAUUCUUAGUAGUGGUUCAAUGAAAGCUAUUGGGGCAACUAAACUCGUAUAUUUCUUUUGUUUAGUACAGGCAGGCCUAUUUAAUUCGAGAUUAUUACAGUAAAUCACAAACACACAAACAGACACACACAUGUAUGUAUACAAAAAUUUUGUGUUCUGUUCUCAUAUGGAACUUUGUAUUAUAUAUAAAUUUAAAAUUUAACUCAACCAACUUCCUUUUUUGUUGUGGGGGUUGUUGGCCUAAUUCAAUGCUUGUUUUCUUUUUGGCCUUUCUUCUUCACCUCUUCGUAUUUAUAUCUUCUUUCUCUCUGCAGACCAAGAAAAAACAUUGAAAUGUUUCGUAUUGUCUUUUUUCUUUUUCAUAUGUGCCAAGUAAAAAACCCGGCUUAACGGUGAGUACCAUGUUCUCUCUUCACGUACAAUUCAAUUCUAUUUUCAGUCAUUUGCCUUCUUUGAUUCUUUUAUUUUUUAUUUUUGAUGUUGAGUAUGGGAUAAUAAGCAACGGAUCGGCGAGAACGUAUGAAUAUCUUACUAACGUAAAGACAAUACGAGAUAUUGGUGCGGUUCAAUCAGAAAUCCACACUCUUUUGUUGUAGAGAUCGGUUUGUUUGAUUGAGCCGUGCCAAUAUCACGAGUGUAAUUGGCCUCCACCAUGCUAGCUGGUGUUCAUCAAGGUUCUGGAGUUCGGAUAACACAAGAAUGAGCGUAAUCCUUGAAUAUAGACAUCGAUAUACCUAAUCUGCAAGGCCGCAAAUACUAUGAAACUCAAAUAAAAAUGUUAUUAAGGGGAAUUCUUUUCCUUUUUUCUUAUAUUGAAUAUUUUUACUCUAUUAUUAUAGUGACGACUCAUUAAACAAAGAUGUCCGACUAAUGAGAUUGCGUUAUUUGUAUCUGUCUGCACUUUUAGUUCAAGUGUUUCCUUAUUCUA